AGUGAACGCUGGCGGUAGGCCUAACACAUGCAAGUCGAACGGCAGCACAGUAAGAGCUUGCUCUUACGGGUGGCGAGUGGCAGACGGGUGAGGAAUACAUCGGAAUCUACUUUUUCGUGGGGUAUAACGUAGGGAAACUUACGCUAAUACCGCAUACGACCUACGGGUGAAAGCAGGUGCUCUUCGGACCUUGCUCGAUUGAAUGAUCCGAUGUCGGAUUAGCUAGUUGGCGGGGUAAAGGCCCACCAAGGCGACGAUCCGUAGCUGGUCUGAGAGGAUGAUCAGCCACACUGGAACUGAGACACGGUCCAGACUCCUACGGGAGGCAGCAGUGGGGAAUAUUGGACAAUGGGCGCAAGCCUGAUCCAGCCAUACCGCGUGGGUGAAGAAGGCCUUCGGGUUGUAAAGCACUUUUGUUGGGAAAGAAAAGCAGCAGGUUAAUACCCCGCUGUUCUGACGGUACCCAAAGAAUAAGCACCGGCUAACUUCGUG
rnacentral:rRNA from 1 species